AAAAAAAAAAAAUUGCAACUUAUUCAAGGAUUCCCCAGAUCCCCAGAUAAGAAGGCCAAGCUAAGGUCAAAUUCUCUUUGAAGCAGGCCUGGACCCAAGGAUUCGGGUACACGUGACUUUUUUUAAGGAACUAUUCCAGGAAACACAGAGGAAAUGGUGCCAGCAGAGCAGGAAAAUGGAAGAAGCCAAACAAGGAAACCAUUUUACAUUGGGUGUUACUUCAAUUUCAGUCCAUCUCUUCUCUACCAUUUUCCAGAAGAAAACUUGGAAUCAGAUCAUGAUUCACCUUGAAAAAGCUGUGGAGUCAAAAAGUCUGGCAAAGAAUAAAGACAAACUAGUACAGAAUAUGACAGCUACAGAUGGGACUGGUGAU